rnacentral:rRNA from 1 species
UACGUAGGGGGCAAGCGUUGUCCGGAAUCAUUGGGCGUAAAGAGCGUGUAGGCGGCCAGAUAAGUCUGCUGUGAAAACUCGAGGCUUAACCUCGAGCUGUCGGCGGAAACCAUCUGGCUAGAGUCCGGAAGAGGAGAAUGGAAUUCCCGGUGUAGCGGUGGAAUGCGCAGAUAUCUGGAGGAACACCGGUGGCGAAGGCGGCAUCCUGGACCGGCAUUGACGCUGAGGCGCGAAAGCCAGGGGAGCAAAGCGGG